GGGUAGCGGAGAAAUUCCAAUCGAACCCGGAGAUAGCUGGUUCUCCCCGAAAUAGUUUUAGGACUAGCCUCAAGUUAGAUACCUGGAGGUAAAGCACUGAAUAGCCUAGCGGCCGAGAGGUUAGCGAAGCUUAUCAAACUCAGAAUGCCAGAGUAUUGAUGCUUGGGAGUCAGACAGUGUCAGAUAAAUGUCAUUGUCAAAAGGGAAACAGCCCAGAUCUACAGCUAAGGUCCCAAAGUCAGGUUAAGUGGAAAACGAUGUGAAGAUACGCAGACAACCAGGAUGUUGGCUCAGAAGCAGCCACUCAUUCAAAGAGUGCGUAAUAGCUCACUGGUCGAGCGUCUUUGCGCGGAGAAUUUAACGGGGCUAAACCUGACACCGAAGCUUAGGCAAUGUAGUAAUACAUUGGGUAGGGGAGCGUUGUAUACGCGGAGAAACAGUAGCGUAAGCGGCUGUGGAGUGUAUAGAAGUGAGAAUGCCGGAAUGAGUAGCGCGAAUGCAGUGAGAAUCUGCAUGGCCGAAAGCCUCAGGUUUCUGGAGGAAGGUUCGUCCGCUCCAGGUUAGUCGGGAGCUAAGGUGAGGCCGGAAGGCGUAGCCGAUGCACAGACGGUAGAGAUUCCGUCACCACCAAAAGAGUUAAGCACAGGGACACAUUUGAAGUCUCAGAGCCGGGUGUUGGUUCCGGUAGAGAUCGAGGGAAAUUAGUACCGAAGUCUGAGAUGGAAGAUGGCGAGAAAAGCUGUGUGUAUUUCUGAGGUGCCCGUACCGCAAACCGACACAGGUAGGUAGGAAGAAGAUUCUAAGGCCAACGGGAGAAGGGUUGUUAAGGAACUCGGCAAAUUGACCCCGUAACUUCGGGAGAAGGGGUGCUCCAGAGAUGGAGCCGCAGAGAAUCGGCCCAAGCAACUGUUUACCAAAAACACAGGUUUGUGCUAAAUCGAAAGAUGACGUAUACGAGCUGACGCCUGCCCGGUGCUGGAAGGUUAAGAGGAGAUGUGCAAGCAUUGAAUCGAAGCCCCAGUGAACGGCGGCCGUAACUAUAACGGUCCUAAGGUAGCGAAAUUCCUUGUCAGGUAAGUUCUGACCCGCAUGAAAGGCGUAAUGAUUUGGGCACUGUCUCAACAGCCCGCCCGGCGAAAUUGUAGUACCGGUGAAGAUGCCGGUUACCCGCGACAAGACGGAAAGACCCCAUGGAGCUUUACUGUAGCCUAAUAUUGGGUUUCGAUGUUGCAUGCACAGGAUAGAUGGGACUCUGGGAAACCAAGGCUUUGGCUUUGGCGGAGAGGCCGUUGGGAUACCAUCCUUGCGAUAUUGGAAUUCUAACCUGCGGCUCUGAAUCGAGUCGGGGGACAUUGUUAGGUGGGCAGUUUGACUGGGGCGGUCGCCUCCUAAAGAGUAACGGAGGCGUUCAAAGGUUCGCUCAGCUUGAACGGAAAUCAAGCAAAAGAGUGCAAACGCAGAAGCGAGCCUAACUGCGAGACUGACGGGUCGAGCAGUAACGAAAGUUGGAGUUAGUGAUCCGGUGGUAUGUGAGUGGAAAUGCCAUCGCUCAACGGAUAAAA
rnacentral:rRNA from 1 species